AGGUGAUGGGGCACAGUAGGUGAACACUAUAGGGUUCCUUUAAACGACUGCUUUGGAGCUGGGCAGCAUGUAGGGCCCAUUCCAAGGUGCCUGAAAUUCCCAGAUAUCACUUUGCAUUACAUCAAUAAUUUAAUAGUGACAUAUUGAACAGAUGAAAACUUUACAUUAACAGUAAAUACAUUUACCUUGUUUUUUUCCUCAGGCAGACAAUUUCAGCGUUACAGUUUUUCAAAGCGCAUACAUUAAAAAAGUUGUUUCCUGCUAUUUGACCUGCAUAUUUAUUUCUGCUUGCUACAGUCAUUCGCUUCACCCUGUGUCUCCAGGAGAGAGUUGUGUAUAAGAAGUCUGGUGACGUCCAUUUUAAAUACUCUGAAGGCCUCUGGCAUAUUAUGUAAGAGGCACAGAUCCUUGGCCGCACCCUAUCUUGCUUCACAAGUGUGAUCCUUAUCACUGAUAAACCUGCAUUUUGUAAUAGCACUCUAAAUAGUUAUUUUUGGCAACCGUUAG